GAAUCCCGUAUAUGGCACGGACUCCCAUUGCUCUGUGAUACACUCUCAACGAGUCGAGUUGUUUGGGAAUGCAGCUCUAAAUGGGUGGUAAAUGCCAUCUAAAGCUAAAUAUUGGCGAGGGACCGAUAGCGAACAAGUACCGUGAGGGAAAGAUGAAAAGCACUUUGGAAAGAGAGUGAAACAGUACGUGAAAUUGUUGAAAGGGAAACGCUUGAAGUCAGUCGCGCCGUUCGGGAUUCAGCCUUGCUUCUGCUCGGUUUACUUCCCGUUGGGUGGGUCAACAUCAGUUUCGGUCGGAGGAGAAAGACUUGGGGAAGGUAGCAGCAUUCGUGCUGUGUUAUAGCCCCUUGUUGUAUACUUCGAUUGGGACUGAGGACCGCAGCACGCCUUUGGCCGGGGUUCGCCCACGUACGUGCUUAGGAUGUUGGCAUAAUGGCUUUAAGCGACCCGUCUUGAAACACGGACCAAGGAGUCUAACAUGUGCGCAAGUGUUUGGGUGUUAAACUCGGACGCGAAAUGAAAGUGAAAGGUUGGGAACACUUAUGUGUGCACCAACGCCCGGAGCUGACCUUCUGUGACGCAUCUGCGGUAGAGCGUAUAUGUUGGGACCCGAAAGAUGGUGAACUAUGCCUGAAUAGGGUGAAGCCAGAGGAAACUCUGGUGGAGGCUCGUAGCGAUUCUGACGUGCAAAUCGAUCGUCAAAUUUGGGUAUAGGGGCGAAAGACUAAUCGAACCAUCUAGUAGCUGGUUCCUGCC
rnacentral:rRNA from 1 species